GCAUAAUAAUUUGCCUUUUAAUUGAAGGCUAGAAUGAAUGGAUAAACGAAAAUCUCCCUGUUUCUUAUCAACCUCUAAAAACUUAUUUUUAGGUGAAAAAGCCUAAAUACAUUUAAAAGACAAAAAGACCCUGCAGAGCUUUAUACAAAAUUUAUUUACUUUAUAAACUAGUAUUUUGUUGGGGCGACAUAGGAUUAAGUAAAACAUCCUCUAUAAUAAAGAAUUACUAUUCAUAUUAAAGAUCCUUAUAUGAUCAAAGGCUUAAAGCUACCUCAGGGAUAACAGGCUUAUCUUUCUUGAGAGUCCCUAUCGACAGAAAACU
rnacentral:rRNA from 1 species